GAUGAACGCUGGCGGCGUGCCUAAUACAUGCAAGUCGAGCGAACGGACGAGAAGCUUGCUUUUCUGAUGUUAGCGGCGGACGGGUGAGUAACACGUGGGUAACCUACCUAUAAGACUGGGAUAACUUCGGGAAACCGGAGCUAAUACCGGAUAAUAUUUUGAACCGCAUGGUUCAAAAGUGAAAGACGGUCUUGCUGUCACUUAUAGAUGGAUCCGCGCUGCAUUAGCUAGUUGGUAAGGUAACGGCUUACCAAGGCAACGAUGCAUAGCCGACCUGAGAGGGUGAUCGGCCACACUGGAACUGAGACACGGUCCAGACUCCUACGGGAGGCGGCAGUAGGGAAUCUUCCGCAAUGGGCGAAAGCCUGACGGAGCAACGCCGCGUGAGUGAUGAAGGUCUUCGGAUCGUAAAACUCUGUUAUUAGGGAAGAACAUAUGUGUAAGUAACUGUGCACAUCUUGACGGUACCUAAUCAGAAAGCCACGGCUAACUACGUG
rnacentral:rRNA from 1 species